rnacentral:rRNA from 1 species
GGAGCACGUGAAAUUCCGUCGGAAUCUGGGAGGACCAUCUCCUAAGGCUAAAUACUCUCUAGUGACCGAUAGUGAACCAGUACCGUGAGGGAAAGGUGAAAAGCACCCCGGAAGGGGAGUGAAAUAGAACCUGAAACCGUGUGCUUACAAGUAGUCAGAGCCCGUUAAUGGGUGAUGGCGUGCCUUUUGUAGAAUGAACCGGCGAGUUACGAUUUGAUGCAAGGUUAAGCAGUAAAUGUGGAGCCGUAGCGAAAGCGAGUCUGAAUAGGGCGUUUAGUAUUUGGUCGUAGACCCGAAACCAGGUGAUCUACCCUUGGUCAGGUUGAAGUUCAGGUAACACUGAAUGGAGGACCGAACCGACUUACGUUGAAAAGUGAGCGGAUGAACUGAGGGUAGCGGAGAAAUUCCAAUCGAACCUGGAGAUAGCUGGUUCUCUCCGAAAUAGCUUUAGGGCUAGCCUCAAGUGAUGAUUAUUGGAGGUAGAGCACUGUUUGGACGAGGGGCCCCUCUCGGGUUACCGAAUUCAGACAAACUCCGAAUGCCAAUUAAUUUAACUUGGGAGUCAGAACAUGGGUGAUAAGGUCCGUGUUCGAAAGGGAAACAGCCCAGACCACCAGCUAAGGUCCCAAAAUAUAUGUUAAGUGGAAAAGGAUGUGGCGUUGCCCAGACAACUAGGAUGUUGGCUUAGAAGCAGCCAUCAUUUAAAGAGUGCGUAAUAGCUCACUAGUCGAGUGACACUGCGCCGAAAAUGUACCGGGGCUAAACAUAUUACCGAAGCUGUGGAUUGUCCUUUGGACAAUGGUAGGAGAGCGUUCUAAGGGCGUUGAAGCAUGAUCGUAAGGACAUGUGGAGCGCUUAGAAGUGAGAAUGCCGGUGUGAGUAGCGAAAGACGGGUGAGAAUCCCGUCCACCGAUUGACUAAGGUUUCCAGAGGAAGGCUCGUCCGCUCUGGGUUAGUCGGGUCCUAAGCUGAGGCCGACAGGCGUAGGCGAUGGAUAACAGGUUGAUAUUCCUGUACCACCUAUAAUCGUUUUAAUCGAUGGGGGGACGCAGUAGGAUAGGCGAAGCGUGCGAUUGGAUUGCACGUCUAAGCAGUAAGGCUGAGUAUUAGGCAAAUCCGGUACUCGUUAAGGCUGAGCUGUGAUGGGGAGAAGACAUUGUGUCUUCGAGUCGUUGAUUUCACACUGCCGAGAAAAGCCUCUAGAUAGAAAAUAGGUGCCCGUACCGCAAACCGACACAGGUAGUCAAGAUGAGAAUUCUAAGGUGAGCGAGCGAACUCUCGUUAAGGAACUCGGCAAAAUGACCCCGUAACUUCGGGAGAAGGGGUGCUCUUUAGGGUUAACGCCCAGAAGAGCCGCAGUGAAUAGGCCCAAGCGACUGUUUAUCAAAAACACAGGUCUCUGCUAAACCGUAAGGUGAUGUAUAGGGGCUGACGCCUGCCCGGUGCUGGAAGGUUAAGAGGAGUGGUUAGCUUCUGCGAAGCUACGAAUCGAAGCCCCAGUAAACGGCGGCCGUAACUAUAACGGUCCUAAGGUAGCGAAAUUCCUUGUCGGGUAAGUUCCGACCCGCACG